AGAGUUUGAUCAUGGCUCAGGAUGAACGCUGGCGGCGUGCCUAACACAUGCAAGUCGAGCGAAGCACUUUACUUUGAAUCUUUCGGGAGGACGAGUGAUUUGACUGAGCGGCGGACGGGUGAGUAACGCGUGGGUAACCUGCCUCACACAGGGGGAUAACAGUUAGAAAUGACUGCUAAUACCGCAUAAGGCCACAGCACCGCAUGGUGCAAGGGUAAAAACUCCGCGG
rnacentral:rRNA from 1 species